rnacentral:lncRNA from 1 species
CAUACGUCAACAGCGAAUAAAACUUCACUUCCCGCCGCUGCAAGACAGUGCAAUCUUUUGGGUGGAGAAAAGAAACGGGGAUGCCCAUGCCGGUGAGUAGGAAGCAUCGACAUUGAGGGCUCCGAAAGGACUGGAGAAGAGUGUAAGCGCAAAUGGCAGAAGAUUGAAUCAAAGGCUCCGAGAGUACGAGCCUCAAGUUAACAGGAGGUAGACCAGCAACACCAAUGUCUUUCAUUGACUCCCUAGUCCUCGAGAUGCUGGAUACAGAGGUUGUAACUUGUUGACGGCAUCUAGAGCUCACAGAGGCAGGAUUUGACAUUGAGGAGGAUAAUGCUGCUACCAGCAUGCUGGAGGACGUCAUUGGAGGUGUAGAGGAAGAGGAAGGGGCCUUGGAUGAAGGAGAGGCAGUAGAGAAUCUAGAAGAGAAGGAGGAGGGGGGGGGGGGGGGAGACGCU